AUGAUGCACUUCGAGUUUGAAGAAGAGCUGAGAAAUACUGAUGAGCUCCUUGAAAACUUACAAGCUCGAGAGGGAAGACUGGGCAAAAGCAAUGUGCACCCUCUACCCUCACCCCCUACUGUUCAGUGGAGAAAGAGGGACAGCCAAGGGGAAAUACUUUACAAAUAUCCAAGAGCCAAAAGGGCAGCGACUGUAGAAAGACCAAAAAGAGACCACACCAAUGUUUCAGGUCCAUUUGUUAUGGAAGAUGACUUGAAUGGUGGCCCUGCAAAUGCCUCUGAAACAGCUGAUACUAUUCUUGAAGAGCUAAAGAGGCUGUUGGACACUAAGGAAGAUGAUGCAAAUGUUGUCCCAAUUCAAGAUCAUCAACCUCGGUCUAUCUCUAAUGACUGGGCCAUUAGAACUGAAAUGAGGGAGGAGAGAUGGAAAGAAGCUAGAUCUUCUCUUGUGGAGAACAUUUUGAAAGGAGAAGAUGCAAGUUCCUCAUCCUGCCAACUGUGCAGAUCAAAUGCAGCUGUUGUGCGCUGUAGGGACUGCCUCGCUUACCCUUACCUCUGUGCAGAAUGUGAUGAGAAACGACAUGGAUUCUUCCAGGCAGCUGGUCAAAUUUCUGUUAAACAUCUUGUUCGACUGCUGCCUGUAGAAAUACCUACCCAUAUUUGUGAUUGCAGUAACGGGACAGUCCUUGUUUCUUCAGGCAGGCCCAUGACCCUGAUCACUAUGAAUGGAAAGGAAGAUUUUUGCAUAACAUUUUUUUUUUCUUCUAAUAUGUAUUACCAUUUUCUUAAGCAAUUUAAAAAAAAAAAGUGGAUCAGUCUGAGCACCACAGCACUCUUGAAGCCAAAAAGCAGUAGGGGGCGGGUACACUCUUGA
rnacentral:lncRNA from 1 species